rnacentral:lncRNA from 1 species
CCUUUGAGACAGAAUAAUGGGGGUCGAAAUCAUCAAUCCCAUAAUCCUCCGAGAAGGAUUAGGCAACCAUCACCUCCUCGGCUGUACAAUGGCUACGCGCCUUUGAAUAUUCCUCGGAGAGAGGUGUUGCUAUAGGUGGGGCCUGAGUUACUUGAGCCUCAACUGAUGAGAACGAGGACGGAAUGUCGUUGGGAUCCAAAUAGAUACUGCUUUUGCCAUCAUGACCAUAGUCACGAUACUGAAGAUUGCCACUAGCUUCGCAAUAAGAUCGAAAG